AACCCGUGAGCAACGGGGUCGUGUCCGUGGUGUUUCCAGUUAGUUGACCUGGAAGGAGGGGUUCCCUGAACACAAAGGCAGAUACCGGAAGCAGACUCGAGACUCCUCAUCAAAGGUUGACAUAGAUGAGAUCAAAAAGCAGGUGAAGAUGGAGAUGUUUGGAGAGCUAAAGACCAGUAUCGAGUCUCAGGUGAAGAUGCAGAUGUUUGGAGAGCUAAAGACCAUCUUCGAGUCUCAGGGAUUGUCAUUCCCUGAUUUGCCGGGGAGUACGAUGAGUGAAGAGAGAAGGGACAGCUUCGCUUGUACUGCAGCGGGUGCUUCUCAGAGUAGAGGGACAGAGAGGGCAAUUGUGCCUACAUCAGUGGAGCCGGAUACGAUAGAUGGCUUGGCUCGUCCGACCCGAUGCAGUCUUCUCGUGCAGCUGGUCGGAGAUUCAUCUCGAUUGGAGGUCGGGAACGGGCUUGUGUAUCCCGGUAUGUCCCAGCUUGAAGGUGUCCAGGUCAGGGCUGAUUGUGCUGUGGUCAAGAUUGACUACCUGCAUGAGUUUGCUAAGAAUAUCAAGCUGGAUGUGCCACCAGAUGACAUGACCACCACUUUGCGGGAUGCAGUUGCGAGAAGGGUUCAGUGGCGGAGAGCUGGUAUUCAUAUUGAUCCAGCAGAUGCAGAUUCAGUACCGACCACUGAACCUCAACCACAGAGUCCUGCAGUGCCACAGACGUUUUCUGAGCCAUGGCCACAGCUGUCGGAUACAUGGGAAGCGUUACCGGAUCCGCAUCCUCCUGUCCCUACUCAGCCUCAGAUUACCCCCCCUGCACCUGUUCCGACAGAGCCAGCUACCGCUCCCAAGAAGCCAAGCAAGGCUAAUCCUGUGAGGAAGAAGCAGAGUAGGCCGCGACGAAGCGGGAGAUCUCAGAGGGUAAGAAAAAGGUGGAGCAGAUAAAACACCCGGUUGCAAGUGCUUAGAAUCCAAAGUACAAGGUUGGAAAGUCCUUGCUUAGUGUCCCUGAGCUUCGGAAAGCAGGUCAAUAUUGUUUGGACCUGCACAACUACUACAUGCGCAAUGUCAAUCGUCAUGAGGAAAUCAUGGUGUCAUACGAAGAGAGGCACUUUCUGCAGCUUGAGGGCAGUCGUAACAUCUUUAUUGUUGCCUGGAGCGAUUUGUUCGACCUUUUCAACCUCGACGCUUUGGAUCUUUCUCUCAUUCGGUGCUUUGCAUUGCACAUGCAACAAGACACAAGGCGUCGAACCGGAAAGAAGUGUGGGUACAUUGACCCACAGAUGAUGACGGUGACAGUAAUGAAUUCAUAUAGAGAUAGCUUGGUCAGGUACAUGGUGAAGUGCAUGCGAGUACAUGCUGA